UGAAGCGGAAAAAAUUGGAAAUCUUGUGACACCUUCCCGUGAAAUAAAAGUAGUAGCAAGCAAUGAAGCUUAUUAACAAGUGAAGAGAAAAACAAAUUGAUGAACUUUUCACUCCCACUCCGACUUGCAAGGUGUUAAUUCAAAUGACGGAGCUCAACGACUUACCCGAUUGUCUUCUCCCUCACAUACUCUCUUUUCUCAACACCAAAACCGCCGUUCAAACCUCUCUUCUCUCCCAAAGAUGGAACCAUCUCUGGAAACAUCUCCCCACUCUUACACUCCAUUCUUCACAUUUUCAAACUCUCAACAUCUUCACCGAAUUCGUCUCUAGGGUUUUUAGGCUGCGGGAAUCAUGUUUUGUUUAUAUGCUAUUUGGUGCGGGCUCUUUUGUUUAUACUCCGCUGGCUGCUAGAGUUUACAGAUGUAACAUCAUUGACAGUCUCAACAACUACUCUUCAGGGUAUCUCCUUACAUCCCAAUGUGUUUAAGCUCAAUCAUUAUGUCUUGCGUAAGUUGAAGAUAUUGAAAGUCAAGACGAAACCUCUUGAUUGUGAAUUUCGUAUGUCACUUUUGGAGGCAAAGUUAUCGGAAAUUGAUUCGGAGGAAGAGAAGGAUAAAUUGAGAAAAGCAUUUCAAGUAGGAUUGGAACCAUCUUCACCCAUACCGGAUGGAACUGUGGACUUUCUGAUUCAAAACUCGCCAUUGGCUCAAGUUGAAAUCAUAGAUUGCUCAAAGGAAAAACCACACUCAACUUCUUAAAGAGAGAUUGUUAUGAUUGGUUUAUAGUUUCUGUUUGCUUCUUUGUUUCUGUUUGCAUCGAUUAAAAGUACUUCAUUUUGAGAACAACAAAUCUCCUUUAUUCAAUGCAUAGAUAAUUUGUUUGUGGUUUUGGUUAAGUCAUUGUUCAGAAUUAUGAUUGUUUUUUGUGUUUGUUAUUCACUUAAGAAGAAGCUUAAAUACUGGAGAUGCAUCUCUUGAAGCAAUUAUGAGACGCUUAGUGAAGUUUGGUUAUAACUGAAUGUAACAAUCCAAUGAAGUGGUGAUUCGCUUAGCUAGGGUUGAGAACUCUGCUAUUCCACCCUAACAUUAAUUAGGCUGCAAUAUAGGCAGAAAUGUAAACUAAGUUUAAUAUAUAAAAAAGCAUGGGGAGGUAAAAACAUCACCCUCAUGCUUAACAACUCACCACACUAAUAAUGGUGAUAACUCUU